AGAAUCAACGCUGGCGGCGUGCCUAACACAUGCAAGUCGAACGAGAAAGUGGGAGCAAUCCCACGAGUAAAGUGGCGCACGGGUGAGUAACACGUGACUAACCUACCCUUGAGUGGGGGAUAACCUAGGGAAACCUGGGCUAAUACCGCAUAAUACCUACGGGUCAAAGGAGCAAUUCGCUUUAGGAGGGGGUCGCGGCAGAUUAGUUAGUUGGCGGGGUAAUGGCCCACCAAGACAGUGAUCUGUAUCCGGCCUGAGAGGGCGCACGGACACACUGGAACUGAAACACGGUCCAGACUCCUACGGGAGGCAGCAGUGGGAAUUUGCGCAAUGGGGGAAACCCUGACGCAGCAACGCCGCGUGGAGGAUGAAGCCCCUUGGGGCGUAAACUCCUUUCGAUCGGGAAGAUAAUGACGGUACCGGAAGAAGAAGCCCCGGCUAACUUCGUGCCAGCAGCCGC
rnacentral:rRNA from 1 species